rnacentral:lncRNA from 1 species
GUUAAAUCAAGCCUUUUCAUCCAUCCAAGAGUCUUCUAACAACAAGAUCUUCAUCUUCUUUGGAUCAUAAGCUCUUUUAGAUCAUCCCUAGCCUAGAGCUAGAAGUCGCAAUACUGUUCAGGACUACCGUACGUGAAAUCAUAUUUACUUCUACUCACUGAAGCGAUACUAUGAUGAAGUGGAGUAUGUGUUGGCAUGGUAUUAAUAUAAGUGUCGCAAUACUAUUCAGGACUACCGUACGUGAAAUCAUAUUUACUUCUACUCACUGAAGCGAUACUGGAAUUAGUGGACCUUGUCAGGGAUUCUAAUUCGGGAAACAAGUAUCAAGACUCCGUGCUAUCUUUUGAAGGGUUUAUCUAUUAUACUGCCGCUUUGCGGUGAUAUAGUGGACAAAGCCUUAGUGUUUAA